rnacentral:misc_RNA from 1 species
AGAAUGCGCAGCAGGGAUCCA